rnacentral:misc_RNA from 1 species
AACGCACCUUGCGCUCUAUGGCAAUCCGUAGAGCAUGCCUGUUUGAGUGCCAUGAAAUCUCCCACCCCAAGCGGUUUUUAAAUGAAACGGCUUGGCGGAUGGGGUCUGGAUGGGUGCCGCUGCCUGGGCUUUGGCCCAGGCUCGCCCGAAAUGCAUGAGCGCUUAGCACUCGCACCGUCUCGAGGGAAGGCGGCGGAGCUGGCAUCUGCGCAUGGCAUGAUACGUCAUUUGCUGUGUGGCAGCCCAGCGACCCGAGAGUGUGUGUGCGCUACUACACGCCCUUUCAUUUCUGGUCUCAAAUCAGGUAGGAUCACCCGCUGAACUUAA